rnacentral:rRNA from 1 species
GACGAACGCUGGCGGCGUGCUUAACACAUGCAAGUCGAACGGAAAGGCCCUGCGUUUGUGGGGUGCUCGAGUGGCGAACGGGUGAGUAACACGUGAGUAACCUGCCCUUGACUGUGGGAUAACUUCAGGAAACUGGGGCUAAUACCGGAUAGGAGCUCCUGCUGCAUGGGGGGGGUUGGAAAGUGUCGGCGGUGGGGGAUGGACUCGCGGCUUAUCAGCUUGUUGGUGGGGUAGUGGCUUACCAAGGCUUUGACGGGUAGCCGGCCUGGGAGGGGGACCGGCCACAUUGGGCCUGAGAUACGGCCCAGUCUCCUACGGGAGGCAGCAGUGGAGAAUAUUGCACAGUGGGCGGAAGCCUGAUGCAGCAACGCCGCGUGCGGGAUGCCGGCCUUCGGGUUGUAAACCGCUUUCGCCUGUGACGAAGCGUGAGUGACGGUAAUGGGUAAAGAAGCACCGGCUAACUACGUG